CCUACGGGUCGCACCAGUGGGGAAUAUUGCACAAUGGGCACAAGCCUGAUGCAGCCAUGCUGCGUGUAUGAAGAAGGCCUUCGGGUUGUAAAGUACUUUCAGCGGGGAGGAAGGCGAUAAGGUUAAUAACCUUGUCGAUUGACGUUACCCGCAGAAGAAGCACCGGCUAACUCCGUGCCAGCAGCCGCGGUAAUACGGAGGGUGCAAGCGUUAAUCGGAAUUACCGGGCGUAAAGCGCACGCAGGCGGUCUGUCAAGUCGGAUGUGAAAUCCCCGGGCUCAACCUGGGAACUGCAUCUGAUACUGGCAAGCUUGAGUCUCGUAGAGGGGGGUAGAAUUCCAGGUGUAGCGGUGAAAUGCGUAGAGAUCUGGAGGAAUACCGGUGGCGAAGGCGGCCCCCUGGACGAAGACUGACGCUCAGGUGCGAAAGCGUGGGGAGCAAACAGGAUUAGAUACCCGAGUAGUC
rnacentral:rRNA from 1 species